rnacentral:misc_RNA from 1 species
UCCGGUUUGUCACCGGCAGUCCCAUUAGAGUGCUCAACUGAAUGUAGCAACUAAUGGCAAGGGUUGCGCUCGUUGCGGGACUUAACCCAACAUCUCACGACACGAGCUGACGACAGCCAUGCAGCACCUGUACAAGCUCCCCUUGCGGGACCCUGACUUUCAUCAGGUUUAGCUUGCGUUUCAAGCCUAGGUAAGGUUCUUCGCGUUGCGUCGAAUUAAACCACAUGCUCCACUGCUUGUGCGGGCCCCCGUCAAUUCCUUUGAGUUUCAACCUUGCGAUUGUACUUCCCAGGUGGAAUACUUAAUGCGUUAGCUUGGAUACUGAUCUUAAAAAAGACCAACAUCUAGUAUUCAUCGUUUAGGGUGUGGACUAC